GAUGAACGCUGGCGGCGUGCCUAAUACAUGCAAGUCGAGCGAACAGACGAGGAGCUUGCUCCUCUAACGUUAGCGGCGGACGGGUGAGUAACACGUGGAUAACCUACCUAUAAGACUGGGAUAACUUCGGGAAACCGGAGCUAAUACCGGAUAAUAUUUUGAACCGCAUGGUUCAAAAGUGAAAGACGGUCUUGCUGUCACUUAUAGAUGGAUCCGCGCUGCAUUAGCUAGUUGGUAAGGUAACGGCUUACCAAGGCAACGAUGCAUAGCCGACCUGAGAGGGUGAUCGGCCACACUGGAACUGAGACACGGUCCAGACUCCUACGGGAGGCAGCAGUAGGGAAUCUUCCGCAAUGGGCGAAAGCCUGACGGAGCAACGCCGCGUGAGUGAUGAAGGUCUUCGGAUCGUAAAACUCUGUUAUUAGGGAAGAACAUAUGUGUAAGUAACUGUGCACAUCUUGACGGUACCUAAUCAGAAAGCCACGGCUAACUACGUGCCAGCAGCCGCGGUAAUACGUAGGUGGCAAGCGUUAUCCGGAAUUAUUGGGCGUAAAGCGCGCGUAGGCGGUUUUUUAGUCUGAUGCGAAAGCCCACGGCUCAACCGUGGAGGGUCAUUGGAAACUGGAAAACUUGAGUGCAGAAGAGGAAAGUGGAAUUCCAUGUGUAGCGGUGAAAUGCGCAGAGAUAUGGAGGAACACCAGUGGCGAAGGCGACUUUCUGGUCUGUAACUGACGCUGAUGUGCGAAAGCGUGGGGAUCAAACAGGAUUAGAUACCCUGGUAGUCCACGCCGUAAACGAUGAGUGCUAAGUGUUAGGGGGUUUCCGCCCCUUAGUGCUGCAGCUAACGCAUUAAGCACUCCGCCUGGGGAGUACGACCGCAAGGUUGAAACUCAAAGGAAUUGACGGGGACCCGCACAAGCGGUGGAGCAUGUGGUUUAAUUCGAAGCAACGCGAAGAACCUUACCAAAUCUUGACAUCCUUUGACAACUCUAGAGAUAGAGCCUUCCCCUUCGGGGGACAAAGUGACAGGUGGUGCAUGGUUGUCGUCAGCUCGUGUCGUGAGAUGUUGGGUUAAGUCCCGCAACGAGCGCAACCCUUAAGCUUAGUUGCCAUCAUUAAGUUGGGCACUCUAAGUUGACUGCCGGUGACAAACCGGAGGAAGGUGGGGAUGACGUCAAAUCAUCAUGCCCCUUAUGAUUUGGGCUACACACGUGCUACAAUGGACAAUACAAAGGGCAGCGAAACCGCGAGGUCAAGCAAAUCCCAUAAAGUUGUUCUCAGUUCGGAUUGUAGUCUGCAACUCGACUACAUGAAGCUGGAAUCGCUAGUAAUCGUAGAUCAGCAUGCUACGGUGAAUACGUUCCCGGGUCU
rnacentral:rRNA from 1 species